AUGAGAGUUUGAUCCUGGCUCAGGACGAACGCUGGCGGCGUGCCUAAUACAUGCAAGUCGAACGCUUCUUUCCUCCCGAGUGCUUGCACUCAAUUGGAAAGAGGAGUGGCGGACGGGUGAGUAACACGUGGGUAACCUACCCAUCAGAGGGGGAUAACACUUGGAAACAGGUGCUAAUACCGCAUAACAGUUUAUGCCGCAUGGCAUAAGAGUGAAAGGCGCUUUCGGGUGUCGCUGAUGGAUGGACCCGCGGUGCAUUAGCUAGUUGGUGAGGUAACGGCUCACCAAGGCCACGAUGCAUAGCCGACCUGAGAGGGUGAUCGGCCACACUGGGACUGAGACACGGCCCAGACUCCUACGGGAGGCAGCAGUAGGGAAUCUUCGGCAAUGGACGAAAGUCUGACCGAGCAACGCCGCGUGAGUGAAGAAGGUUUUCGGAUCGUAAAACUCUGUUGUUAGAGAAGAACAAGGACGUUAGUAACUGAACGUCCCCUGACGGUAUCUAACCAGAAAGCCACGGCUAACUACGUGCCAGCAGCCGCGGUAAUACGUAGGUGGCAAGCGUUGUCCGGAUUUAUUGGGCGUAAAGCGAGCGCAGGCGGUUUCUUAAGU
rnacentral:rRNA from 1 species